rnacentral:rRNA from 1 species
UUAAGCUACAAAGGGCAUAUGGCGGAUGCCUAGGCGUUCCGAGCCGAUGAAGGACGCGAUAAGCUGCGAAAAGUCAUGGGGAGCCGCAAGUAGGCUUUGAUCCAUGAAUCUCCGAAUGGGGCAACCCAGUACAAGUUAUGUUGUACUAUCUACGGAAGGCACACCCGGUGAACUGAAACAUCUAAGUAGCCGGAGGAAGAGUAAUCAAACGAGAUUCCCAUAGUAGCGGCGAGCGAACAGGGAAGAGCCCAAACCGGACGUCUUCGGACGACCGGGGUUGAGGACCAGCAUCAAGGGAAGAGCUUUUAGCUGAACAGUCUGGGAAGGCUGAGCACAGACGGUGAAACUCCGGUAAGCGAAAAGAGCUCCAACGGGCUGGUAUCCAGAGUACCACGAGACACGAGGAACCUUGUGGGAAGCAGGGUGGACCACCAUCCAAGGCAAAAUACUACGGAACGACCGAUAGCGCAUAGUACCGUGAGGGAAAGGUGAAAAGAACCGCGGGAGCGGAGUGAAAUAGAACCUGAAACCGUAUGUCUACAAGCAGUCGAAGCACUUUAUAGGUGCGACGGCGUGCCUAUUGAAGAAUGAACCGGCGAGUUAAUUUCAGAGGCGAGGUUAAGCGGGAGACGCGGAGCCGAAGCGAGAGCGAGUCUGAAUAGGGCGCAAGUCUCUGGGAUUAGACCCGAAACCACAGUGAUCUAUGCAUGGCCAGGUUGAAGCUCAGGUAAAAAUGAGUGGAGGACCGAACCCGUGAGUGUUGAAAAACUUUGGGAUGAGCUGUGCAUAGGGGUGAAAUGCCAAUCGAACGUGGAGAUAGCUGGUUCUCCCCGAAAUAGCUUUAGGGCUAGCCUCAGGUAACACAUGAAGACGGUAGAGCACUGAUCGGGUAAGGGAGCGUAAAGCUUACCGAGCCUAGUCAAACUGCGAAUGGCUUCAUGAGAAGAGCCUGGGAGUCAGAAUGCGAGUGAUAAGACCCGUAUUCAAAAGGGAAACAGCCCAGACCGCCGACUAAGGUCCCGAAUGCUGUACUAAGUGGAAAAGGAUGUAGGACUUCCAAAACAACCAGGAUGUUGGCUCAGAAGCAGCCACCAUUCAAAGAGUGCGUAAUAGCUCACUGGUCGAGAGGCCCUGCGCCGAAAAUAUCCGGGGCUCAAGUACAGAACCGAAGUCGCGGGAUGCGCAAGCAUCGGUAGGGGAGCGUUCCAAGGGCGUUGAAGGCCGACCGGAAGGACGGCUGGAGCGCUUGGAAGUGAGAAUGCUGGUAUGAGUAGCGAAACGAUCCGUGAGAAUCGGAUCCACCGAAAGCCUAAGGGAUCCUGAGCAACGCUCGUCGACUCAGGGUAAGUCGGGACCUAAGCCGAGGCAUAAAGCAUAGGCGAUGGACAACAGGCGAAAAUUCCUGUACUGCAUGAUGUUGUUUGAGGAUGGAGUGACACAGCAAGGAGCUUGAGCGCGCGACUGGAAAUGCGCGUCGAAGGCGGUAGGCUGAGUGAGAGGCAAAUCCCUUACUCAAGGCCGAGAACUGACAGAUAGGAGCGUACUUCGGUACAAUCCGAAUUCAAGCGUACUACACUGUCGAGAAAAGCUUCUAACGAGACAUCAUGUACCCGUACCAAAACCGACACAGGUAGGCGGGGAGAGAAUCCUAAGGUGCGCGGGAAAACCCUCGUUAAGGAACUCGGCAAAAUGCAUCCGUAACUUCGGGAGAAGGAUGGCCGGAGCUGGUGAAGAGAUUGACUCUUGGAGCUGGAGCCGGCGGCAGAAGAGAAGCCCAAGCGACUGUUUACCACAAACACAGGUGCCUGCUAAAGAGAAAUCUGACGUAUAGGUGCUGACACCUGCCCGGUGCUGGAAGGUUAAGGAGAGAUGUCAGGAGCAAUCCGAAGCAUUGAACUGAAGCCCCAGUAAACGGCGGCCGUAACUAUAACGGUCCUAAGGUAGCGAAAUUCCUUGUCGGGUAAGUUCCGACCC